ensembl:lncRNA
UUGCAGAGUUGGUCACCUUAGCCCCGGCCUAUUACCUUCAUCUCUCCCUUGCUCCUCUGCAGACCGUCUGAGGCCAGCAGCAUUGGCUCCCCCUGGAAGCUGGAGAGAAAGGCAAAUUUUCUGGCCCUCAUCCCAGACCAUCCUAUUGGAAUCUGCAAUUUCACAAGAUCCCCAGGGGGCCCGGGUUCGAUCCCUGGUCAUGGAACUAGAUCCCACAUGCCGCAACGAAGGAUCCUGCGUGCUGCAACCAAGAUCAAAGCUCCCACGUGCCACAGCUAAGACAAGGUUGUCCCUGGAUCUGUUUUCCAUGGUUCCUGCCCUUUGAUUUUAUGCUUCUUAUCAAGGAUGGCCCCACCUACCACGCCCAUAAUUCCUCAACAGAUAUUAAAGGCUCAAGCAAAUGUCUCAUGGAAAGAGGCCAGGACGUCUUUUGGAAGCCACAGAUGGGAGACCCUCUGGAGAGCCACAAAAGAGAUCCUCUUGAUACUGGGGUCCAAGUGUCUGAAGCUGCACCACUGAAGACUCAUUCAUUAGCAUCCUGCCUUUUCCCUGAAGGAUUCUCCAGGCAAGAAUACCGGAAUGGGUUGCCAUGCCCUCCUCAAGGGGUUCUUCCUGACCCAGGGAUUGAACCUGUUUGAUAGGUUGCAUUGGCACCUGCAUUGGCAAGUGGGUUCUUUACCACUAGCACCACCUAGGAAGCCUGACCUUUGUCUACUUGAAACCAAAUGCCCUAUGGACUGUAGCCCACCAGGCUCCUCUAUCCAUGGGAUUUCCUAGGCAAGAAUACUGGAGUGGGUUGCCAUUUCCUCCUCCAGGGGAUAUUCCUGAGGAUCAAACCUGAGUCCCCUGCAAUUCCUGCACUGCAGGUCCAUUCUUUACCACUGAUCCACCUGGGGGCCCACGUUAAUGAUGCACACAUGUGUAUAUAUCUCCACUAG